rnacentral:ncRNA from 1 species
GGUCAACGAGUCGGGUUGUUUGGGAAUGCAGCCCAAAUCGGGCGGUAGACUCCGUCCAAGGCUAAAUACAGGCGAGAGACCGAUAGCGAACAAGUACCGCGAGGGAAAGAUGAAAAGGACUUUGAAAAGAGAGUCAAAGAGUGCUAAAAAUUGCCGGGAGGGAAGCGGAUGGGGGCCGGCGCGGCGAUGCGAUGCGCCCCCGCCCCGGCGCCGUAUGC